ACUGUGGAAAAUUACUAUACGAAACACUUCAGUAGAGGAACAAAACUCAUUGUCACAGACAGAACCUUGAAUACAGACCUCUCCCCCAAGCCCACCAUGUUUCUUCCUUCAGUUGCUGAAACGAACCUCCAUGAUGCUGGAACGCAUCUUUGUCUUCUUGAGAAAUUUUUCCCUGAUGAGAUUUAUGUACAUUGGAAAGAAAAGAAUGGCAAAACGAUCCUGGAAUCCCAGCAGGGAAAAACCAUGAAGAUCAAUGACACAUACAUGAAAUUUAGCUGGCUGACUGUGAGCGGAAAUUCCCUGAAUAAAGAACACCAGUGCAUCGUCAAACAUGAGAACAAUAAAGGAGGUGUCGACCAAGAGAUUCUCUUUCCUCCAAUAAGGAAAGCUGUCGUGGCUAUUGAUCCAACAGAAGUUCCUUUAACAGGUCAGAGUGGUAAUUUUUUGUGUAUAUUUGCCCUUAUGCCAUGCUAUUGA